AAAGAGCGAACUCCCUCGUCCAAUUCUAAUCAGGGGCGAGUAAUAAUCGGAAAAAAUAAAAAAACCAGGGGCGGAGUGGACGAGGGGUGCGAGCUCCGAGCGGCGGUUGGGCUCCGGCGUCGUGAUGCUCCACGGCAUUGGGAGCGGCGCGUGGGAUCGACGUCUCUAGAGGGUGGUCUUAGUUUCGGGCAACGCGGCGGGCCGAGCCGUCGUGUUGCGACGUCGGUAGUGCUUGGCGUCAGGGCUGCAUCUCCCGUGUGGACGGCCCCUCGUCGGCAGAGUCGCCGGCGACGAACACUCGGCCGAAGACGGGGCCGCGCCAUGAACCAGGGUUUAGCGGCGUCCUCGGCUGGACGACAAGCUGGUCGUGGGUGGGCGGCGCGGCGAGUCGUGUCUACUUCUUGAAGAGGGUACAGUGGUGGUUGGCAUUCUACAUGAUGCGGGCGGUAUCUCCUCCUACGACAACGGUCGGCAACUAGCUGUUUGCAGCCCUCCGUCAUUUUACAUGAGUAUGUCUUGAUUUACUCUCCCAUGCGAAAUAUUUGCUUGAAUUAAGUUAGAUCAGUAAGAAAACUAGGUAGCAGAAUUAGGAUGGAUUACGUCCCCAAAUAUAUUUCUUUUGGGCAUAGCUAUCAUACAAGCUUACAUCAGAUUGGCAGCUGUUCAUUUCUACAAAAUUCUGGUGUAGUGUUGUGAUUUCCCAGAUGAGUGUUGUGUUAUGUGAAAAUUAUCAUUAAACAUAUGUGAUUAGGAGAAAAAAAUGUAAAAUAGCACAAAACAGAUACACCCAGCAAGGUGUUUUCUAUGGAAUGGUUUCAAUGCUCAAUGUUAUGAAAAACACAUCCGCAUGCACAUUACAUAUGGAGCACGAUGCGCCGCCUAGAACUAGUCAGAUAUUUUACUUUGCACGAAAUUUGGUGAUCUUAACCACAGAAAAUAAAAAAAUACCUCAAAUGUAUUUUCAUUACUAUCAAAUUUAAUGUGAUUUGAUUGUUAUUAUCGGGGAGGUGAUACGUUCUAUUUUGCAAGCGUUCAUAGGACCAAAGCCAGAGUUUACAGCAGUUAUGGGAGAAAACAAAGAAGGGUGGGGAUUAGGACCCAGCGGCCACAGACGAAAUCUGAACCCAAAGUACCAAACCACGUUUCGUUUUGUUUUUUAGGCCCCUAUGCUUCUAGAACUAUUAUCCAAUUUGAUGGCUGCUACUUGGUGCGUGUGCUGGGUGUCCAUGAGGUACUUCUCGGCAGCAGCAUUGCCUCUCAAUUUGCCAACAAGAUCCAUUCAGAUUGUUUAAUCACUGACUCUAGGAUCUAUGCCUACUCUAGGUAGAACUUCAGUAAGCUGCAGAAAUAAACAAUAGAAAGGGUAAAGAACCACUAAGCAUGCCAUUUACCUGAUAUGGCCCAGAUUGUUUUAUUUGAACACCAUAUGGUCCAAAUUGUAACCAAGUAAAACUGCAUGCUCGUCAAAUUUUGUAUGAUGAAACCAUAAUAUUAGCACUCUGAAUGCACGUUUUGAUUGACUACCACCCUGGAUGUCAUCCAUGUUAUUAGCUAUGUUUUGUUACAGGGGAUUUUGGGUACUGCCUGGAUGUGUUGCUUGAGCAGAAGACUUCCAUGUUUUUGUUCAUAGACCGUGUCAUUCUUAUUUUUCUUGUACUUAUCAUGUACUCCCUCCGUCCCAUAAUAUAAGAACGUUUUUGACACUAGUGUAGUGUCAACAACGUUCUUAUAUUAUGGGACAGAGGGAGUAGAUGUCAUGGUUUAUGGAAGAGUGUUCGGUUCAGCCAUAUACCAUAUACAUGUUGCCUAACAAGUUUGUUUUCUCAAUACAGAAGCUGUACGAUUAUAUGAAACUGAAAAUAUUUAGUUUUCUGGCCAUAACUCUGAAUUUUUAGUGACUUGUUGCUUCAUUAUGUGGUCAAUUUUUGGUUGCUACUAGCUUGCUGUAAUAUAGACUGUUGACUUGGACGAUAUAAUUUAUCAUGUUCCUUAAAAAAAUUAUGUACAAUUUCUUCUCAUGGAUGUUAAUUAUCAUGUCAAGCUUGAAGCUCACACUCUUGGAGAUUUUUUGUUUACGAGGAGAAAUCAGAGGUUUGAGGUUCCUUUUGUUACUGUAUAGUUCUCUCAUUUUGAUCAUUAACAUAAUUCAAUUAGUUUUUGUUCUCAUCGGUCUACGACAUCAGUCGGAUUCAGAAAUUACGCUGGGUAAAACCGAUGUGUUUUGUAGUCUUUUUUUUUACGUUCCUUUUUGUCGUAAAAUUACAUCAAUAGCAUCUGGUUUCUUACAGCGAUUACCCUGGUUUAGUUCCUCACACAUCCACAACGUAACUUGCCUUGCAUGCACAUCGUAAGAUUACCUCAGAAGCCCUUUCUUACGGUGGUUCAGAGCGUGUGCUCGUGGGUGUGGCAUGUGGUUCGUCUGUGAGGUAAAUUUACGUUCAACUCUUUCUUUCCUAGUGGUUGUGGCUGUGGCGUGUGAUUCGGCUGGGGUGAGAUUCUUCACCCUGGGUGACGAAUAGCGAUUGACUCUGUGGGUUCACCGUCACAAUACGCUUUUUCUCAUAAAUUUACGCUUUCAGUUUAAAUUUAAAACAUAUACGUGAUGUGGUACUAAAUUUCAUCCGUCCAAUUUCGUUUUCACAGCUUCCUAUCAGAUGGGCCAGAAAAUUUGCUAUGGCUAUGGGCCACGAGCCGCUGCCUACCCGGCUCCAGCCGAAUGCGCGCCGGCCGCUCUGGCAUGGCGGCGGGUUCAGCCUCGGCGUGGACCUAAAUGCUUCAUUUUUACAAAAAAAUAUAUAUGUUUGUUUGAAAUACAGUCUGCAGUCCUCUAAUUCAUCUUAUCCAAACUUCUACCUUUCCAGCAACGCCGGAGGCAGUUGACGGGCGGCGCCCUGUCGUCGGACGGCUACAACGGCGAUGGAGGAGAAGGCGGACGUCGUGGGUGCGUGCUUGAGUAAGGGAGGCCACCCUUGCUGUGCUCGUGGGCGUUCAUGGAGGAUGGAAGGGGGGACAACUUCCUGUUGGUGCGCCGGCUAUGCUCGUGGGUGUUCAUGGAGGAUGGAAGGUGGGACAGCAUUCUGUGGGUACGCCGACCGUUCGCCGCCAGCGCCGGCCGGCCUCCCCCGCCAGUCCUCUCCAGACUCCUCUGUCGUAUCCGUCUCAACCUCCAACUUCCUACUGCUGUGUUGUGAUUUGGAUAGAAAAUUGGAGGCCGGCCAUGUUCUUCUCUAACAUAUAUAUAUAUAUACAUAUAUAUAUAUAAUAACACUAUAUUAAUCAUGAAAUCAGAAUAGUUAUUCGGAUCACGGUCGGCCCUAUAUAGGGUCCGGUCGGGAUGUUUGGAACAUCCGAACCGAUAGCUAACGAAAAAAAGCCCACCGUUCACAUCCCCACCUACCGCAUCUCCCAAUCUCCCCUCGAUACCAACCCAGCCGUUUCCACCUUAGGAACCCCCCGACCAACCCGCCGCCCCGCCCCUGAUCCCUCGCACCGCUGCCGCCCCCGGCCCUGACCCCGCGCGCCCCCGCCCCCGCUCUGACCUCGCGCGCCGCCGUUGCUGCCCCGACAACCCAAGGCGCCGCCGCCGAGAAAGAAGCUCCGGGUAGGGCGGAAGAUGGGCACUGUGGCCGCCGGCGAGGAAGAAGAUUCCGGCGGAGAGGAAGAAGGCGACGGAUGCCGCGGACGAGCAAGGAGGGGAGGCCGCAGAGCGGUCGCCUCAUCUCCCUGUCCUGCGGCACUCCGGCGGCUGGAGCAAGGUAAGGCAGAGCAGGGGACUAGGAGCGGCUAGAGGAGCUAAGUCAGGGCCCGUUCCGCAGCUCUCCGACGGAUAAGACCACGGCGGUGCUGGUCGGGUGGCCACACUCGCCUCCUCUUGCACUGCUCAUGGUCUCCAUCAAGCACGCACGAAAGAGAUGGGCUGCAGGAAGUGAGAGGGCCAGGAUUCGCCUCUAUCAAUGGAAUUCUUCACCACGCAACUUAUUUGAACUGCACCACCCCUACGCCUUCUUCCUCGUGUCUGAGGCUCCCAAUAGACAGUAGAUUUUAUUGCCAGUGGAGCGAUGUGGUCUGAGUCCUCUCUAUCCAUGUGUUUGAUUUUUUUUGUGCAGAUGCAGCAGGCAGUGCAGAUGUACCAUAUUCUGAAUUUUGAAUCUUGUCUCCUGAACUACUCCUCGCCGCCACCACUUCUACUACCGGUGGUAACCCUCGUCGCCACACCUGGAACCGGUUGUCCGUCAAUAGAAGGCGGUCUGUGUCCAUGCUCCGCUGAUCACCCAGUCACACCCUCUAAUUGAUGCACGGAAGAACAUCAUAUGGAAGACAGGCUCCAUUCAGUCAAUUUUUCGAAAAAGCCAUAUGUAUACUCAGAAGUUCUGCC